rnacentral:rRNA from 1 species
UUGAAGAGUUUGAUCAUGGCUCAGAUUGAACGCUGGCGGCAGGCCUAACACAUGCAAGUCGAGCGGUAGCACAGAGAGCUUGCUCUCGGGUGACGAGCGGCGGACGGGUGAGUAAUGUCUGGGAAACUGCCUGAUGGAGGGGGAUAACUACUGGAAACGGUAGCUAAUACCGCAUAACGUCGCAAGACCAAAGUGGGGGACCUUCGGGCCUCAUGCCAUCAGAUGUGCCCAGAUGGGAUUAGCUAGUAGGUGGGGUAACGGCUCACCUAGGCGACGAUCCCUAGCUGGUCUGAGAGGAUGACCAGCCACACUGGAACUGAGACACGGUCCAGACUCCUACGGGAGGCAGCAGUGGGGAAUAUUGCACAAUGGGCGCAAGCCUGAUGCAGCCAUGCCGCGUGUGUGAAGAAGGCCUUCGGGUUGUAAAGCACUUUCAGCGGGGAGGAAGGCGAUAAGGUUAAUAACCUUGUCGAUUGACGUUACCCGCAGAAGAAGCACCGGCUAACUCCGUGCCAGCAGCCGCGGUAAUACGGAGGGUGCAAGCGUUAAUCGGAAUUACUGGGCGUAAAGCGCACGCAGGCGGUCUGUCAAGUCGGAUGUGAAAUCCCCGGGCUCAACCUGGGAACUGCAUUCGAAACUGGCAGGCUAGAGUCUUGUAGAGGGGGGGUAGAAUUCCAGGUGUAGCGGUGAAAUGCGUAGAGAUCUGGAGGAAUACCGGUGGCGAAGGCGGCCCCCUGGACAAAGACUGACGCUCAGGUGCGAAAGCGUGGGGAGCAAACAGGAUUAGAUACCCUGGUAGUCCACGCCGUAAACGAUGUCGAUUUGGAGGUUGUGCCCUUGAGGCGUGGCUUCCGGAGCUAACGCGUUAAAUCGACCGCCUGGGGAGUACGGCCGCAAGGUUAAAACUCAAAUGAAUUGACGGGGGCCCGCACAAGCGGUGGAGCAUGUGGUUUAAUUCGAUGCAACGCGAAGAACCUUACCUUGGUCUUGACAUCCACAGAACUUUCCAGAGAUGGAUUGGUGCCUUCGGGAACUGUGAGACAGGUGCUGCAUGGCUGUCGUCAGCUCGUGUUGUGAAAUGUUGGGUUAAGUCCCGCAACGAGCGCAACCCUUAUCCUUUGUUGCCAGCGGUUAGGCCGGGAACUCAAAGGAGACUGCCAGUGAUAAACUGGAGGAAGGUGGGGAUGACGUCAAGUCAUCAUGGCCCUUACGACCAGGGCUACACACGUGCUACAAUGGCAUAUACAAAGAGAAGCGACCUCGCGAGAGCAAGCGGACCUCAUAAAGUAUGUCGUAGUCCGGAUUGGAGUCUGCAACUCGACUCCAUGAAGUCGGAAUCGCUAGUAAUCGUAGAUCAGAAUGCUACGGUGAAUACGUUCCCGGGCCUUGUACACACCGCCCGUCACACCAUGGGAGUGGGUUGCAAAAGAAGUAGGUAGCUUAACCUUCGGGAGGGCGCUUACCACUUUGUGAUUCAUGACUGGGGUGAAGUCGUAACAAGGUAACCGUAGGGGAACCUGCGGUUGGAUCACCUCCUU